GAGUUUGAUCAUGGCUCAGAUUGAACGCUGGCGGCAUGCCUUACACAUGCAAGUCGAACGGCAGCAUGAUCUAGCUUGCUAGAUUGAUGGCGAGUGGCGAACGGGUGAGUAAUACAUCGGAACGUGCCCUGUAGUGGGGGAUAACUAGUCGAAAGAUUAGCUAAUACCGCAUACGACCUGAGGGUGAAAGUGGGGGACCGCAAGGCCUCAUGCUAUAGGAGCGGCCGAUGUCUGAUUAGCUAGUUGGUGGGGUAAAGGCCCACCAAGGCGACGAUCAGUAGCUGGUCUGAGAGGACGAUCAGCCACACUGGGACUGAGACACGGCCCAGACUCCUACGGGAGGCAGCAGUGGGAAUUUUGGACAAUGGGCGAAAGCCUGAUCCAGCAAUGCCGCGUGUGUGAAGAAGGCCUGG
rnacentral:rRNA from 1 species